UUUGUUUUUGUUUUUCUGAAAGUCUAACAAGAUCUAAUUGUCAGACUUAAGUGAUGCUGUUUGAAACCAGACUUUGGCCUUGAGGAGCAGAGGCAGUAUUACACCAAUCACAACAAAGUGUGACAUGCCUUGUAGUUUUCCAAUAUGCCCUGGGAACCUAAAAACUGAAAUAGGGAAAAUGUUAACAGUCUUUAGGCAGUUGCUGUUAAAUCCAUAUUGAGCCACUCAUGAGAAUUUAUUUUCCCAGAAGACAUAGGUGAGUGCCAAUUAGCCCCUAGAGACAGAGGUGGUGAUUGGUGUGUGGAGGGCAGAGGAAGGGCUGUAACACCUGAUCCUGAGGCUUUGCUGGUCACUGCUGUGCUUCCUCCCAUCCUUUCAACUCAUCAAGGCAAGACUCCAAACUCACUUCUGCUGGGCCCGGGAAAAAGAAAACAGAAGCCAAGUACCCAGCGGGAAGGAGAAGCGAGUCCGUUUCAUUUUAAUGACUCACACCACUUCCUAAAGAUUUCUGCCAACAAAUACGUCCCAGACUAGUCUGGAACACAGCGGCAAGCCGAUGCUGCCACCCUCAGGGUAAAUAUGUUCCUAUUCCGAGUUAGAUAAUAGCAUAGCAUAGAACACAUUUAAUCCCCAUGGUC
rnacentral:lncRNA from 1 species